UACGUAGGGUGCAAGCGUUGUCCGGAAUUAUUGGGCGUAAAGGGCGCGUAGGCGGCCAUUCAAGUGACGGGUGAAAGCCCUCGGCUUAACCGAGGAACUGCCUGUCAGACUGGAUGGCUUGAGACCGGGAGAGGUGAGUGGAAUUCCCAGUGUAGCGGUGAAAUGCGUAGAUAUUGGGAGGAACACCAGUGGCGAAGGCGGCUCACUGGACCGGAACUGACGCUGAGGCGCGAAAGCAUGGGGAGCGAACAGG
rnacentral:rRNA from 1 species